rnacentral:tRNA from 1 species
CCAUCGGUGGUUCAGUGGUAGAAUACUCGCCUGCCACGCGGGCGGCCCGGGUUCGAUUCCCGGUCGAUGCA